UCCGGUUUGUCACCGGCAGUCUCCUUAGAGUUCCCGCCAUUACGCGCUGGCAACUAAGGACAAGGGUUGCGCUCGUUGCGGGACUUAACCCAACACCUCACGGCACGGGCUGACGACAGCCAUGCACCACCUGUGCAGACUCCGAAGAGCACCCGCUUUCACGGGUUUCACCCUGCAUGUCAAGCCCAGGUAAGGUUCUUCGCGUCGCAUCGAAUUAAACCACAUGCUCCGCUGCUUGUGCGGGCCCCCGUCAAUUCCUUUGAGUUUUAGCCUUGCGGCCGUACUCCCCAGGCGGGGUGCUUAAUGCGUUAGCUGCGGCACGGACGGAGUCGACACCGCCCACACCUAGCACCCAUCGUUUACAGCGUGGACUAC
rnacentral:misc_RNA from 1 species